rnacentral:rRNA from 1 species
CGAUGGGCCGACGUCGCAUGCUCCCGGCCGCCAUGGUUAGAGUUUGAUCCUGGCUCAGGACGAGCGCUGGCGGCGUGCCUAAUACAUGCAAGUCGAGCGAAUCGACGGGAGCUUGCUCCCUGAGAUUAGCGGCGGACGGGUGAGUAACACGUGGGCAACCUGCCUAUAAGACUGGGAUAACUUCGGGAACCGGAGCUAAUACCGGAUACGUUCUUUUCUCGCAUGAGAGAAGAUGGAAAGACGGUUUACGCUGUCACUUAUAGAUGGGCCCGCGGCGCAUUAGCUAGUUGGUGAGGUAAUGGCUCACCAAGGCGACGAUGCGUAGCCGACCUGAGAGGGUGAUCGGCCACACUGGGACUGAGACACGGCCCAGACUCCUACGGGAGGCAGCAGUAGGGAAUCUUCCGCAAUGGACGAAAGUCUGACGGAGCAACGCCGCGUGAACGAAGAAGGCCUUCGGGUCGUAAAGUUCUGUUGUUAGGGAAGAACAAGUACCAGAGUAACUGCUGGUACCUUGACGGUACCUAACCAGAAAGCCACGGCUAACUACGUGCCAGCAGCCGCGGUAAUACGUAGGUGGCAAGCGUUGUCCGGAAUUAUUGGGCGUAAAGCGCGCGCAGGUGGUUCCUUAAGUCUGAUGUGAAAGCCCACGGCUCAACCGUGGAGGGUCAUUGGAAACUGGGGAACUUGAGUGCAGAAGAGGAAAGUGGAAUUCCAAGUGUAGCGGUGAAAUGCGUAGAGAUUUGGAGGAACACCAGUGGCGAAGGCGACUUUCUGGU